UCUGCUCUUUCUUUGCUUGCUAGCUACCCAUCAGAGAGAAAGCAGGCCAUUGUUUGGAACACAUGAUUCUGAAAAUGAAGAAACAUAUACUAGAAUCUGGAGCAUCUGGAUAGACAAAGAUUAUAAAACAAGUGAUGAACAUCAGAGUGCUGAAGGGAGAAACAGAGAAGUAAACUGGAGCAACUAGAGAAAACCCACACAAACACAGAGAGGACAUGCAGACUCUGCACAGAAGGAACCUGAGAACUGAAAAUGUGAACCUUUUGCUGAGAGGGAAGAAAACAAAUGUGCCAAGUUACAACCUACCAUUCUGAGGCUGCAGAAACUAUUGAAACUGAAUAUGUAUGUGUAGGCUGGUGACAAUUCCUACUACACUUCCAGAGCAGAAGCGUAUGCAUCACUACCCCUUAAUUGUCAAUUAAACUAAUUAAAAGAUCACACAAUUUCAGUCUCAGGCACAAGAUAUACCCAAUUUUCAAAUUAAAUCAACUGUUUGAUUUUGUCAUUGUUGCAUGACAUUCUGUUAGGAAUAUAGAGGGUUAUGACUGGGUGUCUGAUUAUAAUGAAAUUGAUCAGGAAGGAAGAUCAAAUCAAAACUUGAGAGGCGAGUUUUAACACCAAAAUUGGGAACACAUAACAAAUAGUUUAUGAUCAGAGAAACCCAGUCAUAACUCUUUGUGGUACACUGAGUUUCAGCUGCUUCAUCUCACUUCCAGUUACAGGGUAAACAUGUUGUUAAACAGUGCUGCCACACAGACAGCAGACAUAAGUGAAAUGUGUAGAUCAGAGUGUGUAGGUUCCUUUAAGAGGUAUUCCAAUCAGUGAGCGCAUGCAUAUAAGUACUGAGCAAGUGCAAGCAAGAGUGUCAUUUUGCAGUGAGCAGCUGAGAUGUAAGC